AAUGUGCCGAGAUAAGGAUCUUUUCUGAAUCUCGCAAUUUUGGUGGCGUGCCCUGCAACAGCAUGUUUUUUGUUAUGGCUGUUUCUAUUUCUGUUUAGAAGGAAACCCAGCUGAAGGAUAGAGUUUCAGAGACAUGAAGAGUGUGAAGUGAGACCUGCCAUGUGUAUGUUCAUGUACCAGAUCUGCUUGAUGAAAGUCAAAUGCCUUACUAAAUUCAUCAUCCAUAUGG